UACGGAGGGGGCGAGCGUUAUUCGGAAUUAUUGGGCGUAAAGGGCGCGUAGGCGGCUUGAUGUGUCAAAGGUGAAAUCCCUCGGCUCAACUGAGGAACUGCCUUUGAAACUGUCUGGCUUGAGGCCGGGAGAGGGUAGCGGAAUUCCCAGUGUAGCGGUGAAAUGCGUAGAUACUGGGAGGAACACCGGUGGCGAAGGCGGCUACCUGGACCGGAACUGACGCUGAUGCGCGAAAGCGUGGGUAGCAAACAGG
rnacentral:rRNA from 1 species